rnacentral:rRNA from 1 species
AAACUAGGAUUAGAUACCCUAUUAUUUUAGGAGCUUAACAUUGUAAGUAAUGGCGGUAUCUUAAGCUUUUCAGAGGAAUUUGCUCUAUAAUGGAUAAAACACCUUAAUCUUACUUUAAUUGGUGUAAAAACAGUUUGUAUACCACUAUUAAAAUAAUAAUAUACAAUUAUUAUUAAAGUAUAUUAUUUAUGUAUUUAAAUAAAGUUAAGUCAAGGUGCAGCAAAAAUUAAAGUAUGAAGUGAAUUACACUGCUUUUUAGAUAAGAAAAUGAAAAUAAGUUUAGGAUUUGAAAGUAAAAUUAAAAUAGGAAGUUAAUUUGAAUUAAGCUCUAGGAUAUGUACAUAUCGCCCGUCACUCUUUAUUAAGAUAAGUCGUUACAUAG